rnacentral:rRNA from 1 species
GACGAACCGUGCGAACGUUGUUCGGAUUCACUGGGCUUAAAGGGCGCGUAGGCGGUCGACCAAGUCUGGGGUGAAAUCUUUCGGCUUAACCGGAAAAGUGCCCCCGAUACUGGCCGGCUAGAGGGAGAUAGGGGCAUGUGGAACUUCCGGUGGAGCGGUGAAAUGCGUAGAUAUCGGAAGGAACGCCGGUGGCGAAAGCGACGUGCUGGAUCUCUUCUGACGCUGAGGCGCGAAAGCCAGGAGAGCAAACGGG